UGAGGAAUAUUGGACAAUGGGCGAAAGCCUGAUCCAGCCAUGCCGCGUGCAGGAAGACGGCCCUAUGGGUUGUAAACUGCUUUUAUACGGGAAGAAACACCCCCUCCGUCGUAGGGGCAGGGUUGACUGGAUCGACCCGUAGGGAAAUAAAGGAUCGGCUAACUCCGUGCCAGCAGCCGCGGUAAUACGGAGGGUGCGAGCGUUGUCCGGAUUUAUUGGGUUUAAAGGGUGCGUAGGCGGGAUGCUAAGUCAGUGGUGAAAGACGGUGGCUCAACCAUCGCAGUGCCGUUGAUACUGGUGUUCUUGAAUGCGGAUGAGGUAGGCGGAAUGUGGCAAGUAGCGGUGAAAUGCAUAGAUAUGCCACAGAACACCGAUUGCGAAGGCAGCUUACCAAAUCGUUAUUGACGCUGAUGCACGAAAGCGUGGGGAUCAAACAGGAUUAGAUACC
rnacentral:rRNA from 1 species